CCAGACUCCUACGGGAGGCAGCAGUGGGGGAUAUUGCACAAUGGGGGGAACCCUGAUGCAGCGACGCCGCGUGGGUGAAGAAGCGCCUCGGCGCGUAAAGCCCUGUCAGCAGGGAAGAAAAUGACGGUACCUGAAGAAGAAGCCCCGGCUAACUACGUGCCAGCAGCCGCGGUAAUACGGAGGAUGCGAGCGUUAUCCGGUUUUAUUGGGUUUAAAGGGUGCGCAGGCGGUCUGUUAAGUCAGCGGUCAAAGCGGGGGGCCCCCCCCCGGCCCGCCGUUGAAACUGGCAGUCUCGAGUUGGAGAGAAGUAUGCGGAAUGCGCGGUGUAGCGGUGAAAUGCAUAGAUAUCGCGCAGAACUCCGAUUGCGAAGGCAGCAUGCCGGCUCCACACUGACGCUGAGGCACGAAAGCGUGGGUACCGAACAGGAUUAGAUACCCUUGUAC
rnacentral:rRNA from 1 species